AUUGAACGCUGGCGGCAUGCUUUACACAUGCAAGUCGAACGGUAACAGGGUGCUUGCACCGCCGACGAGUGGCGAACGGGUGAGUAAUGCGUCGGAACGUGCCGAGUAGUGGGGGAUAACGCAUCGAAAGGUGUGCUAAUACCGCAUACGUACUGAGGUAGAAAGUGGGGGACCUUCGGGCCUCACGCUAUUCGAGCGGCCGACGUCUGAUUAGCUAGUUGGUGAGGUAAAGGCUCACCAAGGCGACGAUCAGUAGCGGGUCUGAGAGGAUGGUCCGCCACACUGGGACUGAGACACGGCCCAGACUCCGACGGGAGGCAGCAGUGGGGAAUUUUGGGCAAUGGGCGCAAGCCUGAUUCAGCCAUGCCGCGUGUCUGAAGAAGGCCUUCGGGUUGUAAAGGACUUUUGUCCGGGAGCAAAUGCCUGGUGUUAAUAGCACUGGGAGCUGAGAGUACCGGAAGAAUAAGCACCGGCUAACUACGUGCCAGCAGCCGCAGUAAGAC
rnacentral:rRNA from 1 species